UAACAACGAUAAACACUUAGGUAUAUCAAACAAUAAAUAACAAUUGGUUGGCUUUUGAUCACGUUUUCUUGCCGCACACACACACAAAACCAGAAACCAAGAAAUUAACCAUUUAACGAUCACAGCACUCGAAAACCUCUCGAAAACGCUCAGCGUGUGUUGGCGGGACUGACAAACGAUCGAGGAACGAAGGUUUCCUACUCCCGCGAAACGUCAUUGAUGACUAAGAGGCAGUCGCGUAGAAUUACCAGCGAUAUGAGUUAUGAGAGGGAAAUCUCGAAUAAUCUGCAUGUGCUCGGAGCACAGGAGCGAAUCGCAGAGAAGGCCGUUGUUUAUACAAGACAUACAAUGGUUGUCCUCUUUCAUAAACAAGUUUUUGCUUUCCUUGUUAGGUUUUUUGACGGAAAUGAAAUGACUAAAAACCAUAUGAAAUUUUUAAAUAUAAAUAUUAAUACAUAAUACAAAAUGAAAAAGCAAAUUUUAUGAUAUUUUUUAUUAAUGUAAACCCUACUCGUUAAAAGCCAAAUUCUAUUUUCUAUUAAAAAAAAAAAACAAACAAGCAAAAGGCGUUUCAUUAUGUACAUAACUGUAUUGACAAGCACCUCGUGCUUCUAGAUUCCCCUCCUGGUACCAAAUUUUGUUUUUACAGCUACUUUUUCUCAUGCUAUGAAUUCAAAAGGCUCCCACGUUGGUUUUUCUCCUUUAUUUUUGGCAAGCCGAAACCCAAACAAAAAAAAUAGCGAGCGGCGAUAAAACAAAUGUCAACCAAAAAGUUCAAAGAUGAGCUGCGCAGCAACAGUAACAUAAACAACGUAAGAUGGGCACACUCCGCGCUCGGAAUCCAAAUGAGGAUAUAUCAAGCGACAAUGGAAGAAAAGAAGACGCGCCAAAAGUCAUCAAAGCAAUCAAAUAAAUUUACAACAAUAAACGCGCUUCAACCAAAUUGGUCAAAGCGAAAUGUGAGCAAACUAAUUAGCCUGAAGAACAACGGCACAGCACAACAGAGUCGAAGCAGAGGAGCCCUCGACGAAGAAGCCUACAUACUAACUAUACAGGUGCGCAGAGGUGAGCGCCUGACAUUUGCUAAGAAAAGGUUAAGGCCUCCAGAACGAAUCGGAUGAAUCAGCAGACUAUGAAAAUCGCAAGUGCAGAGAUUAUAUUUACAUAUAUUCAGGGAAUACUUUUUGAAAAUUUAAUGUUUUUGUUCAACCGAAGUAAAUUAACUAGGAAGUACACCAAUUUGCAAUGCAAUUCAACUAAUAAACUGCGCCCUUUAAGCACUAAUAAAUAUUUUUACUGAACUUAGUUUAGGUAAUUUCGUUGGUGUGUUGAAAUGUUAACAUAUAAUUUUUGUUUCAAAAUAUUUCUCUAAAUUUCUUAAUAGCAAUAAAAGUAGUCCAAGGGUGCAAAUAACGUUCUGUAAAAUAUUUCAAGAAAUUUAUAACUGUUUAGGGUGAAGUAAUAUUUUUUUAUACGAAAACCAACUAUACAUGAUUGGGUUGAAGAAACAUUUCAAAUACAACAGUACAUAUUAAUAUAUGUAUAUUUAAACAAAAAACACUUUUAAGCAUCCCUAUUUCCAAAACAUUAUUUAGCCUAACAUAAUGUAUCUAUGUAUGUUUGCUAAAACUUUUCGUUCUUGUUCUUUCCUUUUAAUUAAAAUUUGGUUUAAAAGUAACCAAUUUGAUUCCGAUAGUUAGAUGGUCUUUUGACGCUUAACCUUUUUUUGAGUGAAAUCGAUUUUUAGUUCCAUUUAGCUUAUUAUUACUUUAAAUUUCAUUAUUUUCUGCUAAUUUUAAUUAUUUAAUUUACGAUCGAAACUACGUUCACAAAAAAGUAAUAACAUGUCUCACAAUGCGAUUAAUUUGUAAAUAUGUAGUAGGAACGCUUAAAUUCGAUAACUUAAUUUCUGCAUAUAUUAAACUUUUAAAAGACAGUUUGAGUUAUCGAGCAUCGACUGUAUCUUUUGUCUGUA